UGAGGAAUAUUGGUCAAUGGACGAGAGUCUGAACCAGCCAAGUAGCGUGAAGGAUGACUGCCCUAUGGGUUGUAAACUUCUUUUAUACGGGAAUAAAGUGAGGCACGUGUGCCUUUUUGUAUGUACCGUAUGAAUAAGGAUCGGCUAACUCCGUGCCAGCAGCCGCGGUAAUACGGAGGAUCCGAGCGUUAUCCGGAUUUAUUGGGUUUAAAGGGAGCGUAGGCGGACGCUUAAGUCAGUUGUGAAAGUUUGCGGCUCAACCGUAAAAUUGCAGUUGAUACUGGGUGUCUUGAGUACAGUAGAGGCAGGCGGAAUUCGUGGUGUAGCGGUGAAAUGCUUAGAUAUCACGAAGAACUCCGAUUGCGAAGGCAGCUUGCUGGACUGUAACUGACGCUGAUGCUCGAAAGUGUGGGUAUCAAACAGGAUUAGAUACCCUGGUAGUCCACACAGUAAACGAUGAAUACUCGCUGUUGGCGAUAUACGGUCAGCGGCCAAGCGAAAGCAUUAAGUAUUCCACCUGGGGAGUACGCCGGCAACGGUGAAACUCAAAGGAAUUGACGGGGGCCCGCACAAGCGGAGGAACAUGUGGUUUAAUUCGAUGAUACGCGAGGAACCUUACCCGGGCUUAAAUUGCAACUGACUGAACCGGAAACGGUUCUUUCUUCGGACAGUUGUGAAGGUGCUGCAUGGUUGUCGUCAGCUCGUGCCGUGAGGUGUCGGCUUAAGUGCCAUAACGAGCGCAACCCUUAUCGAUAGUUACUAGCAGGUCAUGCUGAGGACUCUAUUGAGACUGCCGUCGUAAGAUGUGAGGAAGGUGGGGAUGACGUCAAAUCAGCACGGCCCUUACGUCCGGGGCUACACACGUGUUACAAUGGGGGGUACAGAAGGCAGCUACACGGCGACGUGGUGCUAAUCCCGAAAGCCUCUCUCAGUUCGGAUUGGAGUCUGCAACCCGACUCCAUGAAGCUGGAUUCGCUAGUAAUCGCGCAUCAGCCACGGCGCGGUGAAUACGUUCCC
rnacentral:rRNA from 1 species